AUCUAGAUAGUUUAAUUAAAACAUUGACUUGUGGUGUCAAUAAUAUACGAAUGUAUUUUAGGUA
rnacentral:tRNA from 1 species